UGUACACAGCUGUGGGCUCUGAAUGGCGCCCCUUUGGCUAUCCCCGCCGCCGGCGACCACUGAAUUCUGUGGUUCUACAACAGGGUCUGGCCGACCGAAUUGUCAGAGAUAUCCGGGAAUUCAUCGAUAACCCCAAGUGGUACACUGACAGAGGGAUUCCCUACAGACGUGGCUACCUGCUUUAUGGGCCCCCUGGUUGCGGAAAGAGCAGUUUUAUCACAGCCCUGGCUGGGCAACUGGAGCACAGCAUCUGCCUGCUGAGUCUCACAGACUCCAGCCUCUCCGAUGACCGGCUCAACCACCUGCUGAGUGUGGCCCCACAGCAGAGCCUGGUGCUCCUGGAGGAUGUGGAUGCUGCUUUUCUCAGUCGAGAUUUGGC